rnacentral:lncRNA from 1 species
UCUUUUUCGGGGCCUAUUUGACUCGAACAAUUAAGCAUAUGGGCUCUCUUAAAAUCCGGUGCCUAUGGUCAAUUGACUUGGAUUAAUCAGCCUAAAACUUGCUGCAGGGGUCAUCUUAGUUGCCUAAUGGAGAAGAACCUGCAUUUACGAUGAAAAAUUAAUGAGCUGGAAAAAUGAAAAAAUGUGAAAAAUAUGAAGAGUUGGAAUAAUAUGAAAAUCUGAAAAAUAUAAAAGCUCAUAGUAAGGGGAAAUAAGUAAAAAUAAUAAGUAUAGGUCUUACUACACAUUACAUGGUUUAACUUUCUUUAGUAGGAGAAUAUAAUUACUGGCAGUGAUUGGCAUGUCCCUUCUUACAAAAUUAAGGUUUGGAGUCCUGCUUACAUUUGAAUAGUGACACUUUAGGCACACGAGUCACUUGUACUUUUUACUCCAUUUUAGUCUAAACUAAGUAUGUGGGAAGGUCUACUACUUGUUAAUUUUACUUUUGCAUAUUAUCAACUACAUUUUUGAGUUAUUAUGUAUUAUUUGCUCAAUUUGUUCUUAAUAUGAUUCCCUUCAACAUUUAUGACAAAAAGGGUGGGAGAAAAGUGUAACUAAGGGGGAGAAAAAAGAGCAUACGAAUUGGGGUCGAUGGGGGAGAGACAUAGAUGCAUUGUAUUUUGCAUUCCAUAUUAUAUCCAUUGUUGUUUGAAUUUUGAUGUUUAGUGGUGUUGGUGUUUUGAUUGACAUCAAUAUCACGUCUCAGACUAGUAUGUUGAUGUGUUUGUGAUUAAGUACUUUAAUGUUUAUAUUUCGUGUGUCACGUGCUUUUACACUGGGUAUAUGAGCUUGUAGAUUUCAGGAAACAGGUACAAGGAAUACAAGAUUCAGUGAUUGGGUUUUCUGGGUAGAAUAGAUUGUGUCCAGAGUCCUGACUUAUAGUUGUAUGGUCCUGACUCAUUGUGUAUGGUUUUGUCACAGAAUGCCAAAUGGGGAGUUUGUUAGGUCUGAAAGUGUGAUUGGGAAUUCUGUAAACAAAACGGACGUAAUUGUAUGUUUGUAAGAGUUAUGGCCUCAAUUGAACAUUCUUGUGAAAGUCAAGGGGUUAGGGUGCAAUUUUGUAUAGAUGAGGUAAAUUAGUGUUCGAAUCGUUAAAAGAGUCCAAGAUGUCCAAG